AAAGCGAGUUUUAACUGAGCGUUCAGUUACUUGACGUAGACCCGAAACCGGGCGACCUACCCAUGAGCAGGAUGAAGCGAAAGUAAAAUUUCGUGGAGGUCCGAACCCACGAGCGUUGAAAAGCUCGGGGAUGACUUGUGGGUAGCGGUGAAAUUCCAAUCGAGCCCGGAGAUAGCUGGUUCUCCCCGAAAUAGCUUUAGGGCUAGCCUCAAGGUGAGAGAUACGGAGGUAGAGCACUGAAUGUCCUAGGGGGUAUUGCACCUACCGAAGACUAUCAAACUCCGAAUGCCGUCAUCUUAUACUUGGGAGUCAGACUGUGGGUGAUAAGAUUCAUAGUCGAAAGGGCAACAGCCCAGAUCGUCAGCUAAGGUCCCUAAAUGUAAGUUAAGUGGUAAAGGAUGUGGGAUUGCACAGACAACCAGGAUGUUGGCUUAGAAGCAGCCACUCAUUCAAAGAGUGCGUAAUAGCUCACUGGUCGAGUGAUCCUGCGCCGAAGAUUUCCGGGGCUAAAACUUACUACCGAAGCUACGGCAUCAGUAAUGAUGGGUAGGGGAGCUUCCCAUACGGGUUGAAGCAUGACCGUAAGGACAUGUGGACAGUAUGGGAGUGAGAAUGUUGGCAUGAGUAGCGAGAUGUGGGUGAGAAUCCCACAGGCCGUAAACCCAAGGUUUCCAGGGGAAGGUUCGUCCGCCCUGGGUUAGUCGGGACCUAAGCUGAGGCCGAAAGGCGUAGGUGAUGGACAACAGGUUGAUAUUCCUGUACUACCGAUAACCGUUUGAGAGAAGGGAUGACACAGUAGGAUAAGCUAAGCACACUGUUGGUUAUGUGUGCCCAAGCAUUGAGGCAGUCAAAGUAGGCAAAUCCGCUUUGAUAAUGCUGGGAUGUGAUGGGGAGCGAAAUUUAGUAGCGAAGUAGCUGAUUUCACACUGUCAAGAAAAGUCUCUAUCGAGGUUAAAGGUACCCGUACCGCAAACCGACACAGGUGGGUGAGGAGAGUAUCCUAAGGCCAGCGAGAGAACUGUUGUUAAGGAACUCGGCAAAAUGACCCCGUAACUUAGGGAUAAGGGGUGCCACCAUCAGGUGGCCGCAGAGAAUAGGCCCAAGCGACUGUUUACCAAAAACAUAGGUUUCUGCUAAGUCGCAAGACGAUGUAUAGGAGCUGACGCCUGCCCGGUGCUGGAAGGUUAAGGGGAUCUGUUAGAGCAAUCGAAGCAGUGAACUUAAGCCCCAGUAAACGGCGGCCGUAACUAUAACGGUCCUAAGGUAGCGAAAUUCCUUGUCGGGUAAGUUCCGACCCGCACGAAAGGCGUAACGAUUUGGGCACUGUCUCAACAACAGACUCGGUGAAAUUGUAAUUCCGGUGAAGAUGCCGGAUACCUGCGACAGGACGGAAAGACCCCAUGGAGCUUUACUGUAGCUUGACAUUGGGUCUUGGUACUACAUGUACAGGAUAGGUGGGAGGCUUUGAAACCAGGACGCCAGUUUUGGCGGAGCCAUCCUUGGGAUACCACCCUUGUAGUACUGGGACUCUAACCAUAGGCCAUGAAUCUGGUCUUGGGACACUGUCAGGUGGGCAGUUUGACUGGGGCGGUCGCCUCCCAAAAGGUAACGGAGGCGCUCAAAGGUUCUCUCAGUACGGUCGGAAAUCGUACGUAGAGUGUAAAGGCAAAAGAGAGCUUGAUUGCAAGACAUACAGGUCGAGCAAGGAUGAAAAUCGGACUUAGUGAUCCGGUGGUUCUGCGUGGAAGGGCCAUCGCUCAACGGAUAAAAGCUACCCUGGGGAUAACAGGCUUAUCUCCCCCAAGAGUCCACAUCGACGGGGAGGUUUGGCACCUCGAUGUCGGCUCAUCACAUCCUGGGGCUGUAGUAGGUCCCAAGGGUUGGGCUGUUCGCCCAUUAAAGUGGUACGCGAGCUGGGUUCAGAACGUCGUGAGACAGUUCGGUCCCUAUCCGUCGCAGGCGUAGGAAAUUUGAGAAGACCUGUCCUUAGUACGAGAGGACCGGGAUGGACGUACCUCUGGUGUACCAGUUGUCCUGCCAAGGGCAUGGCUGGGUAGCUAUGUACGGAAUGGAUAAGCGCUGAAAGCAUCUAAGCGCGAAGCCAACUUCAAGAUAAGAUUUCCCACCGCAAGGGUAAGACCCCAGAAAGACUAUCUGGUUGAUAGGUCGAAGGUGUAAGUGCAGCAAUGUAUUUAGCUUAUCGAUACUAAUAGGUCGAGGACUUGACCAA
rnacentral:rRNA from 1 species